GCCCGCAGGGCUGUCAGGCGGCUCAGCGUAAUCAGGGCUAAUGACGGCGGCCGGGCGCUCCGCGAGACAAUGCGCGGGGCCGCGGGGUUUUGUCGGCCUGAAAGGCUAAUAGGCUUUUAACUCUGUCUGGGGCUGCUUGUCAUCUAUAUGAAGUUCUCCAGAGGCAUCUUAGCCCAUCCUACAAUUCAGGAUAACCCGAAAUAGAAAAGACAGUGAGGGGAAUAGGACACACAAAAAGCUGCUGGAUGAAAUUGAUUAUGGUGAUCAUACUCUUACAGACGUACUGUCUCCAACCUCCAGCAAUGUUCCAGAUCUUGCUCCUGAGUCCUUGAAUCAGCCUGAGUCCUUGAAUAAGACAGCACAGAGCAGAGCCUCCAGCCAACACACAACAGAUGUAUAUUAUAGACAAAGGCUAACACCUUGAGUGGAACCAAAGGAGGAAAGAACUUCCCUGCUUGAGAAGAGGAGAGGAAAUACUUAAUUGAUCCCAAAGCAGACAAGGACAGACAGAGAAGAGGAGAAAGGAGGACCCAACAAGAUGAUAUCAGAGCAUGGCACAUCAUGACUCCCCACUUUGGUUCUCUCCAAACCUCAGU